GAUGAACGCUAGCUACAGGCUUAACACAUGCAAGUCGAGGGACCGGCGCACGGGUGAGUAACACGUAUCCAACCUGCCCUUUACUCGGGGAUAGUCUUUCGAAAGAAAGAUUAAUACCCGAUAUAAAGGAUGGGGAUGCGUUCCAUUAGGUUGUUGGUGAGGUAACGGCUCACCAAGCCUUCGAUGGAUAGGGGUUCUGAGAGGAAGGUCCCCCACAAUGGAACUGAGACACGGUCCAAUCUCCGACGCACGACAGCAGUAAUGACUAUUGUUCAAUCAGCCCUAGCCUGAACCUGCCAAGUAGCGUGAAGAAUGCAUGCUUAUGGGUCGUAAACUUCUUUUAUAUAAGAGUAUGUAUUAUAUGAAUAAGGAUCGGCUAACUCCGUGCCAGCAGCCGCGGUAAUUC
rnacentral:rRNA from 1 species